rnacentral:rRNA from 1 species
GAUGAACGCUGGCGGCGUGCUUAACACAUGCAAGUCGAACGGUGAACGAGGGAGCUUGCUCCCUCCGGAUCAGUGGCGAACGGGUGAGUAACACGUGAGCAAUCUGCCCUGGACUCUGGGAUAAGCGUUGGAAACGACGUCUAAUACCGGAUACGAGGCGUGGGGGCAUCCCCAACGCCUGGAAAGAACUUCGGUCCAGGAUGAGCUCGCGGCCUAUCAGGUAGUUGGGGAGGUAAUGGCUCACCAAGCCUACGACGGGUAGCCGGCCUGAGAGGGUGACCGGCCACACUGGGACUGAGACACGGCCCAGACCCCUACGGGAGGCAGCAGUGGGGAAUAUUGCACAAUGGGCGAAAGCCUGAUGCAGCAACGCCGCGUGAGGGACGACGGCCUUCGGGUUGUAAACCUCUUUUAGCAGGGAAGAAGCGAAAGUGACGGUACCUGCAGAAAAAGUACCGGCUAACUACGUGCCAGCCGCCGCGGUAAAAC